rnacentral:lncRNA from 1 species
ACACAAGGAUUUAUAGUGGUUCGGUGCCAACCUUGCACCUACAUCCACUCCCCAAGCUCCUACUUGGGAAUUCCAAUCCACUAUACUUGUAUUCAACCCGAAUACAAAUGUCGAAAACUCCGACACUAGCUAUCCCAAGCUAGUCCACUUGUUUUCUGGGUACAAGCCAACCCAAUACACUCCGAUUUCAGGUUCGGAUCA